AUGGAGGGCAGUGGGACCGGAAAAAGACGUGGAAAAGCUGCGAAAACGAGCCUUCGAAUCAUGGACGCGCGGGCCCAGCUCCUCCUCCGAGUUCCUCAUCCGAGUUCCUCAUCCGGGGCCGUCACUCACAUCCGGGGCCCUCACUCACAUCCGGGACCCUCAUCCGGGGCUCUCACCCACAUCCGGGACCCUCAUGCCUGGGCGGAGGAGGGGGGGCCCUCAUUCGGGACCCUGCACUCCGUCGCCGGAAGUGCCACCGAGAAGCGCCGGCCUCGGGGCUGUCUACAGCGGCCCGGGAGAGGCUGUGGUGGCCCCGAGCGCGAGUGUGUAGGUGACAGGACAGCGGCCAGGCCCGCCCCUCCCCUCGUGAUGGUCAUUGUCCUCCAGAGCAGUGAUGGAGGAAAUACCAGCCCAGGAAGCAGCAGGGUCACCAAGGGUCCAGUUUCAGUCUUUGGAGACCCAGUCUGAGUGUCUGUCCCCAGAGCCUCAGUUUGUGCAGGACACCGACAUGGAACAGGGACUCACUGGGGGUUCUAAUCUGUUCUCCCUCCUCCUCAACGUAAGUACACAGUGGAUACCCUCUCUAUGAUCUUCAUUCUCUGGCCAUGGUGCUACAGUGUUCUCAUUCCUCAGAGCAGCCAGGAUGUGUUAUUUCAGGAGUUUGUGACAUUCGAGGAUGUGGCUGUGCACCUUACUCGAGAGGAAUGGGGAUACCUGGACCCUGUUCAGAGGGACCUCUACAGAGAAGUGAUGUUAGAGAAUUAUGGGAACGUGGUCUCACUGGGAUUUCCAAUUUCCAAGCCUGAUGGGAUCUCCCAGCUGGAACAGGAUCUACAGGUCUUUGAUCUGGAAACUAAGACUAGAGAAGUCUUAAGAGAUAACUGCUCAGAUGGAGAGACCAGAGAAGAGAACAAGCUGUUGAUUCCUAAGCAGAAAAUUUCGGAAGAAGUGCAUUCAUACAAAGUGAGAGUAGGAAGACUCAAACACGAUAUUACCCAAGUUCCUGAGACUAGAGAAGUGUAUAAGUCUGAGGACAGAUUAGAAAGACUUCAGGAAAUUCUAAGGAAAUUUCUGUACCUGGAGAGAGAGUUUAGGCAAAUAACAAUCAGCAAGGAAACCUUCACCAGUGAGAAGAACAAUGAAUGUCAUGAACCCGAAAAAAGCUUCAGUCUGGACUCUACUAUUGAUGCAGAUCAGAGAGUUCUUAGAAUACAGAAUACCGAUGACAAUGAUAAGUAUGACAUGAGCUUCAACCAGAAUUCAGCCUCUGGUAAACAUGAACACUUAAAUCUAACAGAGGAUUUUCAGAGUAGUGAAUGUAAGGAAAGCUUAAUGGAUCUCUCCCACCUUAAUAAAUGGGAGAGCAUCCCUAACACUGAGAAAUCCUAUAAAUGUGAUGUAUGUGGGAAAAUUUUCCAUCAGAGCUCAGCCCUUACUAGACAUCAGAGAAUCCAUACUAGAGAGAAGCCCUACAAAUGUAAAGAAUGUGAAAAGUCUUUCAGUCAGAGCUCAAGUCUUAGUCGACAUAAAAGAAUACACACUAGAGAAAAACCUUACAAAUGUGAAGCAUCUGAUAAAUCCUGUGAAGCGUCUGAUAAAUCCUGUAGUCCAAGCUCAGGCAUAAUUCAGCAUAAGAAAAUUCACACCAGAGCCAAAUCUUACAAAUGUAGCAGUUGUGAAAGAGUCUUCAGUCGUAGUGUCCACCUUACUCAACAUCAAAAAAUUCACAAAGAGAUGCCCUGUAAGUGUACUGUAUGUGGCAGUGACUUCUGCCAUACUUCAUACCUACUUGAACAUCAGAGGGUCCAUCAUGAAGAGAAAGCCUAUGAGUAUGAUGAAUAUGGGUUGGCCUAUAUUAAACAACAAGGAAUUCAUUUCAGAGAAAAGCCCUAUACGUGUAGUGAAUGUGGAAAAGACUUCAGAUUGAAUUCACAUCUUAUUCAGCAUCAAAGAAUUCACACAGGAGAGAAAGCACAUGAAUGUAAUGAAUGUGGAAAAGCUUUCAGUCAAACCUCAUGCCUUAUUCAGCAUCACAAAAUGCAUAGGAAAGAGAAAUCAUAUGAAUGUAAUGAGUAUGAGGGCAGUUUCAGUCAUAGCUCAGAUCUUAUCCUGCAACAAGAAGUCCUCACCAGACAGAAAGCCUUUGAUUGUGAUGUAUGGGAAAAGAACUCCAGUCAGAGAGCUCAUCUAGUUCAACAUCAGAGUAUUCAUACCAAAGAGAACUCAUGAAUGUAAUGAAGAUGGGAAGAUAUUUAUCAAAUUCAGGCUUCAUUCAGCAUCUGAGAGUUCACACCAGGGAGAAAUCAUGUAUGUACUGCAUGUGGUAAAGCCUUCAGUCAUAGCUCAGCCAUUGCUCAGCAUCAGAUAAUUCACACCAGAGAGAAACCCUCUGAAUGUGACGAAUGAAGAAAAGGUAUUAGUGUUAAACUCUUAAUCGACUCCUGCAAAUCUAUACCAGUGAGAAAUCUUAUAAAUGUAUUGAAUGUGGCAAAUUUUUCAUGCUAUUAGUAUUUUCAUACCUUAGUCACAUUUGGAGAAUUCACAUGGGAAUAAAAUUCCAUUGCUGCAAUGAAUGUGAAAAAGCCAUCAGUCAAAGAAACUACCUUGUUUAGUAUCAAAUUCACGCCAUGCAAAAAGAUUAUAAAUGUAAUAAGCGUGUAUGUGUGUGAGGAGAUUCAGUCAUAACCCAACGCUCAUUCAACAUCAAAGAAUUUAUACCUAAGAGAACUUAUUUGGGUGUAGUAAAUGGCAGAUCUUUCAAUAGGAGUUUAACUAGUCUUUGUCAUAUCAGAAUAUCCAUAGUAGACAAGAAUUUGAUGUAACGCAAAUGGAAAAACUCGACACCACAUUUCAGGCUUUACCCAACAUCGAAAUAAUGGAGAGAAAAUUGUUGAUUAUUUGUUUAUGAAAUUGUUAAUACAUAGUCCCAAUCUUUUUCAUUGCACAAAAAUCUAGGGUUGACUUGGUAAAUGCAGUGACAUUUUCUCAUGGAGUUCCUUUAUUUAAUAUGUAUUCUAAGUAGGUACAUUUAUUUUUACUUUUUUAUUAUAAUUUUGAUAUUAAAAAGAACAGAGAUGGGGUCUUGCUUUGUUGCCCAGGCUGGUCUUGAACUCCUGGCCUCAAGCGAUCCUCCCACCUGUCCUCCCAAAGUGCUGGGGUUACAGGCGUGUGUCACUGUGCUGGGCCUAUUUUAUUUAUAGAACUCAUUUAAGCUGUUUUUAUUUUAAUAUGCCCUAUAAACAUUUUUAUAUUUUUUGAAAUUGGUUCUUAGUGUUCACAACUUCCAUAAGAUACUGCUAAUGCACCAGUAUUAAAACACAUCGACGUAAGUAGCUCAUUUAGCUUUUUCUGCUGUUCUUGGCCCAAGUUCUUUCCAAAACCAACUCUUAGGCCUGCUCUUUACUAGGGAUCUUAUGUCGUAUUGCUUUACAGCCACAACACUUGGAUUCCUGUUGAUUAACUUCUCCAUUCUCUUAAGCACCUUUAGAAGAUUUAGAAGUUUCCUAGUUUUAAGUGUUUCACCAGCAAGUAUUCCAUACCUACUUGAUGUUGCUGGUCUGGUGUCUUAUUUCCUAAAGUGAAGCAUCUUUUUUUAAAAAAGAAUUUGAUUGAAAAUAUAUCCAGUCCAAUAUAAGUAUGAAGGAUUCUCUCUCCUGAGAUUGUAGCAGGCAGCCAAACAUUUUCAAAUGAUGCCCAAGGUUUUAGCUGUCUUGUGUGCAUCCACAGUCUGCUAAGAAGACAGAUGAUAAGGACAUCAGGGAGCCAACAAGACUCCUAAUAGCCUCACUACAUUCAUCCAGUGCCUAUUCUGCAUGCCUAAGCUUAGAGUUCUUUUAUAUACCUCUAAGGCCAGCAAAAUGCUCAGGUCUGCUCUUGGUAGGGUAAACAUAAAGAAGAUACACAGGCCGGGCGUGGUGGCUCACACCUGUAAUCCCAGCACUUUGGGAGGCUGAGGCGGAUGGAUCACGAGGUCAGGCAAUCGAGACCAUCCUGGCCAACAUGGUGAAACCCCGUCUCUACUAAAAAUACAAAAAUUAGCCGGGUGUGGUGGCACGCGCCUGUAAUCCCAGCUACUCAGGAGGCUGAGGCAGGAGAACUGCUUGAACCUGGGAGGCGGAGGUUGCAGUGAGCCGAGAUUGCACCACUGCACUCCAGCCUGGGCGACAGAGCAGGACUCUCAAAAAAAAAAACAAAAACAACCAUACACACACACACACAAAUCAGCAUCAUAAGGGAAUGUAGCCUUCCAACAGAGAUGAUGCUGUUCGUAUGUUAAUCUCAGAGACAGUAUUUCAAGAGAGUGGCAGGUCUGUUCCUGGUAAAAUUUUAACCAUUAGGAUUGCAGAUAAAUGUUUGAAUUCUGCUCCUCCCUCAUCAAUCCAGGACAGUAUUUAAAGUGUGAGGGCUUUGUGUAUAGUUGUUUAUCCAUUACCACAUUUUUGUAUUUUAAUAGUCUACAGGCUAUAUAAAAGAACAUGGCUUUUUGGCUGAUAAAAGUGAUUACAGAUGUUGGCUCAAGUUCAGGGCCACCAUCAUAUACCUAACAAGAGUUCAUGAUUCUUUAGGUAAUGUCAAAACAUUUUGUAUUUUUCCAUCUUAAGCUUUAUAACAUUUUGUGAGUAAGACAAAUGUUAUUUAAAAUUCUUGUUGUCAGUCCAGCAAUUGAGGCUUUCAUAGUUCAGUGUUAUAAUACUCAGUAGGGACCCUUAACAAAUAUAUAAAAAUAUAUUGCUCACUCUAUAAUCCUCCUAUGGCUAACCUCUAGGAUAGUUCUGCCACUAUAUUUUACUUCUUUGCCAUCAGCAAGAGUAGGAUUUCAUCAAGGCAAGGUAGGAAUCUAAAUGAAAUUGAUAUAUAAAUGAAUUGAUCUAAAUGUAAAAGCAAAUGAAAAAUGCAUGUGUUUUUUCCUAUCAAACAUGUAUACCCUUAUGUAUAGAGACCAGUAGUCACGUAUGGUGACUGAAACAGGAUUAUGUAAUCCCUAAAAAGCAGAAUAUGUAAAAAUCACAUGUAUGCGUUUGGUUUAGGAAUGUGCUUUUGUACUUCCACUUGAAUAAAGGUGUGUUUGGUAUUCUGAGAA